AGCAACCAGGAAUAUGCGCCCAGGACCCAGCCGGCACGUGCACAAUAUACGAGCCCACCUCCGAUUAUUACCCAAAAAAGAGCUUCUUCUACAACAUAACAUCCAAAAGAUGUGAAGAAUAUCGAGUAUGCAUGUCUCUUGGCUAUAUCCUCCAACAAAACUCGUUUGCAUCAAGAACGCUGUGCAUAUUGCACUGCCGUGGCUUCACACGGAAGGGCAUUUCCCAAAAAAGGGCUGAAUAGCAAUAAUCAUCAUCCCAUACUCUAUCAAUGGAAGAACAAGAUCGAAAGUCUCUCCUGGGUGGAUAUGGACGUAUUCUCGCUUAAAGAGGGAAGUUAUAUCGAAGAUUCAGACGAGAUUAUCAUGAGCCACCGAAACAGACUUCGCAACAUAUAUGCUAUAGGCUGACGAUAUUAAUCUGACAUCCUUCUGUGUACGUCCCAAUGUCAAUACACAAGUCUGUAUGUGCGCGUAACCAUAAAUGAUAUAAACCAACACUGAAAUCAGCGGAGAGUUUUCUCUCAAUGUUUUUUAAAUAUUUAUUCACGUACUGUUGACACAGAAUGUAAACGUAAUCACAUGUGCAAGGUAAACGCUGCACGUUCGUAUUCACAAGUGCUAACCGCAAUAUCUGAUAACAAAAAAUCUGCUGCAAGCGUUUCCAAUACGCUGCAUAUUUAAUGAAUUACCUUUUCCGGAGAAAAAAAAAACAAUAUAACAACAAAGUUUGCUUUGAGCACAUGCGAGAAUGUGCAUAUCUUACGUUCUAUUGUGUACAGUGUAUACUGUGCAUCACCUACAUUAUCUACUACACUGUGUAUAGUGCGAUUAUAAACUGUGUACAGAGUACAGCGUAUUUCUUUUGCUGAAUAAACGAAACGGAAACCCUUU
rnacentral:lncRNA from 1 species